AUGAAUGAGAAGACGUAGGUUACCAAAACUAGCCAUCCAAUCGAUCUGUGAACAAGUUGUGCUCCACCAAAACAAGUUACGCUCAAUAAUCAGAAGGAGGGGAGGGGGGGCGGCUGCGGGACACCAUUUGAUUAGGCGCACGAUCGCGCAUCGGAGAGGAGAGGGGAGUAAGAAUCACAAUCGGUCAAAUCUUGUCUCCAUGCAGAGAAGUAAAAGUCGUCAUUUUGAAAACGGUAAAGAUUAGAAGGAAAGCAGGACAAUGAGUAAAGACAGAGUGAGCAUAGAAGCUGGGAAUCGAUUGGCGCGGCAACUACAGCAGAGUCAAAAGUUCAAAGUGGUGCAUACACUGACCUUGUGCCAUGGAGUUCGGGGCGAUUGUAACAAGCAAUUGAUUGAGCGGUUUGGAGGCGCCAGAGCAAAGCCCGAAGGAGAAAGUAGGCAAACAAACGCGUUGCAGAGGGCACGAAGAUAAGGAAGGGAGAGAGGCCGUUCUAUCUGUCAGGGGAAUUUAAAGCGGAGGAUUUCGGUCUGUAAGAAAGAGGCACGUCGUCAGAGAUUGCGAAAGGCACUUACAUGUGAAAGGGUCCGUAACAUAGGAGAACCAUUUUGUAGAUAAUAAUUUAUUUUGUAUCCAAUUUGCCAUGCCAAAUAUGGAUAAUGGUUUAUUCAUGGAACUGUAAUGAAACAACUGAAGUGUAUUUAGUUAGGUAUUUACUUUUUAAUCUACUUAAAUAGAAUAUCGAAGUUUUUGCUGAGAAGCACUAGGGUUUUUAGUUUUGGUUCACAAAAUCAACAAGUUAAGUUUUGAGUCUGUUUCUGGUGUAGAUUGUAGAGGUGGUUCUGCUUCAGGGUCUUGUUCAUCCUAUCACCUGUGUUCUGUACCUCAUUGCCCUUGAAACUGAUCCCAGGGAGACAAAUUCAAAGCUAGCUCAUCAUUUGCUGAUGAAUAUGAAUGAUAAGUGCAACCCUAAUCAAGUAGGUCCAUAGUGAUUAUGAAUCUUGUAUGCUCUGGAUUCAUUGCAGCUCCUUUUCAGGUACCCAGCCUUUUUUGAAAGCAGGUUAGGGUUCAGACGUCAUUUAUUUUUUCCUCUGAAGAUGCCAGCCAGAUUAAUUUCAAGGUCCUGGAAAUACGAGGGGAAGUCUGACAGGGCAGCAUUAGCCCAAGCUAGGGUUGGAGUCUCUCGGAUCUACAUGCUUAUACGUGGAAAUCAGGUUUCUAGAAACAAAUUUAUGGCUUCAAUUAUGCGCAAAUUUGAUAACCCCGCUUGGAAUGAUUCAGUGGUGCCAUUUUUUACGCACUGUACAAAAAUACUUGCUUUAUUACCGUUCACCGUGCCUGACGAGCCGCUCUAUUUGAUUUAUUCUAUAAACCAAAUAAUACAAGUUAGGGCUGGUGCCAUUGAGGCAAACUUGAAGGCAUAUUGUUCAAGGUUGUUUUCAAGAGGAAGCCAGGGCACAGGCCACAGUAAUGGAAGUAUCCAACAGGAGCAAGUUGCUCAACCUUUGUUUGGUAACUCAAGAGCCGUAGAUCUGAAUGGGACGACGAUUCAGGAAGAGUCAUUUUUUCAGCCAGUUCAAGGCCAUAUGGGAUCACUGGAUCUGAAUGGCAGAAUCCCGUCUGAGGCGGUUGAUAAAUCUGGUGCUAACGGUGCUUAUACUGAAGGAGAAGCCCCUUUUUUGGGUUCAAGUGAACCUCAUGGAAUAUCUGGUGACGACCUGCAGAAAAUCCUAGUACUCUUCUAUCCAGUAGAUAAAGCAAUUUGUUUUCUUCUAGGCAUGUACAGAGUUCCAUUUUCGGAUGAUGAUAUCUGAGAUAGAAUUGGUGAAAAAACAAUGUCUAUGAAGUGCUUCCAAUUACCUAGCCCAAAAACCAUUUUAUAAUUUGAGAAAGACUCCAGUUGAUUUAAGAACCUCGGCUGUUGCUCCUAUCAUUUCCUGCAAUUUAAUUGGAUAGGAAUUUUCCUAAAUUCAUGCAAUGAUUUAUGUUCUUUGCUUUUCAUCCUUGCCUCUAGUCUAACAAAAACUUAAGCUGGUAUACCUUCCACUAGAUUGUUCUUGUAAUAUACAUUUUCAGCGACAUAUUUUCUAAUACAUCAGAUAUGGAUAGUUUAAACCUUUUUUUGCCUUGAUGGAAAAUAAGUCAUUGCCGGUGUAACUGGCUUCAAGUUGCUUCAUAGGAUAAUCUCCACUGCCAGCAAAAUCUGCUUCUUUGAUGAGCUGGCAUGAAAGGGAAAUCUCAGUGUGGUCUUUUAGUUCUUUCUACCUUUUUGGCAAAAGAUGUUGUCAUAGCACUUUUAUCUGGGACUCCUGCAAGUGGACUGUCUAGCGGCUACUACCUAGAAGCUCCUGCUGAAGCUAAAAAAGCACUUGAAGGUUACGUAUACUCUCAACAAUGCUCGGUGCCAGGCUCUCUCUCCGACUGAACCCUUGAAACCGGGUGAUGUUCUCACGAAGCAAAAUAUUCCCUUCAAUCUCAGCGGCACCCGAAGCGAUUUGCCUUUGACUCCUCAAGAAGUAUUUCAAAUAUAUCAGGAUCUCUUGGCUACAUGUUCUAAUCUGUAAAGAUAGACUGAAUCUGUUUGGGAAGUGAGAUUAGAUCGACUUCUUCCAUAGUUCAGGGACACUUGAAUUGGAUUUCUGGUUUGAGAGUAUAUAGAAGGGACCUUCGUCUAGGAGAGGGUCUGAACGAGCAGCAGUGGCAGAUGAUGAAGACGACAACGAGGAGGCCUAUGCAGGGGGAGCCCGUAUAGCAAGCAGUGGCAGACGAGGCAGUUACAGGACGAGGCAGCAGUGCUAAGUAGUGUCUGUAAAAUAGCAGGUUAGGACUAACAUCUGUACAUCCUUCGCAGCUUUUGAAAUGAAGUUAGGAUCUUUUAUGAUAGAAAAGAACAGAGGGAAGGACAGAGAAAUUGGAAAAAGUACCGGGAAAGAGAACUGGGGCCCAAAGGAGCUCGGGACACUUCCAAAUCCGAUGAUUGAGCAUAUUGCGUCUAGUUCCAGCUUCAUUAGAUUAGGCAUUAUAGUGGAAGUCGAUUCUUUCUUUUGUUUACUAGAUUUCAUCCUGAUUUUCUGGAGGUGGUUCCGGGCCUCUGCCCGGGAGUGCAUUGGAUUGUGUUCUCUCUCUCUUACAAUAUAAAUUACAUUUCUGUAGAAAUGUUCGUUGAUAUGGCCAAAAAAAAAAAGAGUUUAGCCUCA